CAAUAGCGUAUAUUAAAGUUGUUGCAGUUAGAACGCUCGUAGUCGGAUUUCGGGGCGGGCCGACCGGUCUGCCGAUGGGUAUGCACUGGUCGGCGCGUCCUUCCUUCCGGAGACCGUCCCUACUCUUAACUGAGCGGGGGCGGGAGACGGGACUUUUACUUUGAAAAAAUCAGAGUGUUUCAAGCAGGCAGCUCGCGCUUGCAUGGAUUAGCAUGGGAUAAUGAAAUAGGACUUUGGUGCUAUUUUGUUGGUUUCGAACACCGAAGUAAUGAUGAGAAGGGACAGUCAGGGGCACUCGUAUUCCGCCGAGAGAGGUGAAAUUCUCAGACCAGCGGAAGACGAACCACUGCGAAAGCAUUUGCCAGGGAUGUUUUCACUGA
rnacentral:rRNA from 1 species